CAGAUUGAACGCUGGCGGCAGGCCUAACACAUGCAAGUCGAGCGAGAAAGGUCUUCGGACUGAGUACAGCGGCGGACGGGUGAGUAACGCGUAGGAAUCUACCUGGUAGUGGGGGACAACAGUCGGAAACGGCUGCUAAUACCGCAUACGCCCUAYGGGGGAAAGCGGGGGACCUUCGGGCCUCGCGCUAUCAGAUGAGCCUGCGUUGGAUUAGCUAGUUGGUGGGGUAAAGGCCUACCAAGGCGACGAUCCAUAGCUGGUCUGAGAGGAUGAUCAGCCACACUGGGACUGAGACACGGCCCAGACUCCUACGGGAGGCAGCAGUGGGGAAUAUUGCGCAAUGGGCGAAAGCCUGACGCAGCCAUGCCGCGUGUGUGAAGAAGGCCCUAGGGUUGUAAAGCACUUUCAAUUGGGAAGAAAAGCUUGUAGUUAAUAACUGCAAGCCCUGACAUUACCUUUAGAAGAAGCACCGGCUAACUCCGUGCCAGCAGCCGCGGUAAUACGGAGGGUGCGAGCGUUAAUCGGAAUUACUGGGCGUAAAGCGCGCGUAGGCGGCUUUUUAAGUCAGAUGUGAAAGCCCCGGGCUCAACCUGGGAACUGCAUUUGAUACUGGAAGGCUCGAGUACAGGAGAGGGAGGUAGAAUUCCACGUGUAGCGGUGAAAUGCGUAGAUAUGUGGAGGAAUACCGGUGGCGAAGGCGGCCUCCUGGC
rnacentral:rRNA from 1 species